UCAGAGCUGCCAGAGCUGUGCCCGUGUUCCAUGUGGAACUGCCAGGGCCCGGCGACGAGCACAACGCAGCCAUUCCCCUGCUGCCAGCGAACCUUCAGCAGCUCGCAGCGAACCCCUGUCACCUGGUCCAAGACCACCCUUCCCCCUGCUCCAAGAGCACCUUUCCUCCUGCUCCCAGCGCCCUGUCCUUACCAGCUCCCUGAUAGUCCGUCAGUCCGGAACUCUCCCUGCUGACUGGAUCUCAGCAUCGCUCCUGCAGGAUGUGCAGUUUUGUCCCAGUGAAGGGUGUCAGAGACACCGAGGAAGCCAUGGAUGUGGACAUGGAUGGCGAUGGCGAAGAGAGUAUGGAAGUGGACCUGGAAGAGCAUGUGGAGGAGAUGGAGGUGGACACGCAAGAGGAAGAAGAGAUGGAUGUGGAAGAGGAAGGCGAGAAGGAGGAGGCCAUGGUGCUGGGAUGAGGAGAGUCCCCCAUCAGCAGCAGGUGAGGCCCGUCCUGGCCAUGCCCUGCCCCGGGCACAGCGGGUCACCUGCCGCCAGGCUGGGGCUGGGCUGGGUGGCCCCGCUCAGGGACACGGUGCCCCGUGCCCUGGAUUGUGGCGGCACAACCCCCAGCCCCGGCCUGCCCUGCGCCUGCUUUGGGCCACACAAGCCCCGUGCCAGCGCCUGGGGCCCGGCUCCCAUCCCCAGCCGGGCUCAGGCCUGGCACCAGAGUCCCGCUGUGCCCAGCGUGGGCCAGGCUGGGGGCACAGGGAACGGCCAGCAGGGCCCGACUGCACUGACCGUGCCCUUGCUUUUCUUGCAGGACUGACGGACCUGCCGGCCACGGAAUCGGCCACUUGUACAUAUGUUUUACAUGUUGUUCUGUAAAUACGUUCUAUAUUAUUGAA